rnacentral:rRNA from 1 species
UACGGGGGGGGCAAGCGUUGUUCGGAAUUACUGGGCGUAAAGGGCUCGUAGGCGGCCAACUAAGUCGGAUGUGAAAUCCCCAGGCUUAACCUGGGAAUUGCAUCCGAUACUGGAUGGCUUGAAUCCGGGAGAGGGAUGCGGAAUUCCAGGUGUAGCGGUGAAAUGCGUAGAUAUCUGGAGGAACACCGGUGGCGAAGGCGGCAUCCUGGACCGGCAUUGACGCUGAGGCGCGAAAGCGUGGGGAGCGAACAGG